CGCUCCAUUGUUAAAGAACCAACUCACUGAGGACGAAAGGUACUCUUCGUCUGGAUGGAAAUAUAUCCGGGGAGAGUAUGCCUGAAAAAUUGCCUGAAUUUGGUUUAGAUUAGGCAUACAAGAUAAAUUGGAGCUCACUUUCUUCAAGCAAGCUACAGAAGUAGGAGUAGAAUUGCCGUUUUGUGCCACAAAUGUGCCCACACAAACACCCAUAGCCUGCGUCCCUCUAUUGCUGGGCCUCAAACUGAAUGCGUUGAAUCCAUUUGGAUCGCUUUGCUUGCCUGGUCCCCAUAUCCAGGUGUCGAUCUCGCAUUGGUCGGUGAGGUCUGAUCGAACGCAGCAGAUUUUAUCCAAGGAAGGCUUUUCGGGGGAAUUGGUGACGACAACGCCUAAGGCUGUGUAACCAUCAGGAGCGUUGGGUAACCAAAUGUAGCCAAUGCCAUCUUGCUUGAUUUUCAGAGACUCGCUGCUCCAAACAAGCGUGUAAUCAAGUGGUGUCUUUAAGGCUCCUCCUACCUCAUCUUUCCCUGCAAGAACCCAUCCAUAAAGCGACCUGUUAUUGGGUUGGCUAUAGCUACCCAACAUAAAGAAUCCUUGUGGGAUUUGCGAGGGAUCAAAGAAAGAAGCGCCGAGAUCAUCUGGUCCCCCUUCAUGGGUAGCCCAAACUUUGUUGAAAGAUGAAAUCUGGCACACUCGUAAUCCACCAAGAUCAAUGGUUCCAUGUCCAAAACCUUCACCUGUUUAUUAUAGCAUGCGUGGAUCGAUCAUGAGAAACCAAAAUAAUAGAGAUGGAUUCACUAAAAAGAUUAGCAGAGAAAAAUGAAGCUAGAAAUUAAGUAUUUGAAGGUACCUGGUGGCCAAGUUGGCAAUGGAGAGGGAAGGCUGAAGGAGGUUUCGAUGGGGGAAGCUUCGGAGACAACGUUGGGACUUGCAGAAGGACGGUUCCCCAUUUAGUUGGUGAAGGUGUUGGAAGAAAACCUUAGGACAAGAAAGCAUAUAUAGAAGCAGCAAGCUAAAGGAGAAUAAUAUGGGAACCCUCUUAACAAAAAUGUGAAAAGCAAUGCCAGUAGGCAAUAAAAGGAGCGACCAAUGGAAGUUGGGAAU
rnacentral:misc_RNA from 1 species